CAGUCGCCGCGGUAAUACGAAGGGGGCUAGCGUUGUUCGGAUUUACUGGGCGUAAAGGGUGCGUAGGCGGAUUGUUAAGUCAGGGGUGAAAUCCCGAGGCUCAACCUCGGAACUGCCUUUGAUACUGGCGAUCUUGAGUCCGGGAGAGGUGAGUGGAACUGCGAGUGUAGAGGUGAAAUUCGUAGAUAUUCGCAAGAACACCAGUGGCGAAGGCGACACACUGGCUCAUUACUGACACUGAGAGACGAAAGCUAGGGGAGCAAAUGGGAUUAGAGACCCCCGUAGUCCCUGUCUCUUAUAA
rnacentral:rRNA from 1 species